AAUAAUGAUGGCGAUGGGGCUCGCCAAAACCGCCGUAAGUUUGCCAAGAAUUUGCCAAGAAUUUGACCAGACCAAGGCUGAUGGCUCCUACUAUUCC
rnacentral:ncRNA from 2 species